rnacentral:ribozyme from 13 species
UUUUUUUUUUUUUUUUUUUUUUUUUUUUUUUUUUUUUUUUGGGGCAAGACAAGGGAGAGCGACUGAGGUGC